GGGGAUAUAGCUUAGUGGUAUAAGCAUCUGCUUGGCAAGCACAAGGUCCUGAGUUUAGUUCCUGGUACCCACA
rnacentral:tRNA from 1 species